rnacentral:rRNA from 1 species
UAGAUGUCGGUNUACGGCCCGGGUGCGAUGCCUGUCGCGUCGCCNGUAAAACGGCACGCGACAAACCCCCGGUCGCCCGGCCNGCCGCAAGAUAUCAGGCCAUUUUACGGUGCGUCNAUACCGUCGCAAGCGCGCGCCACGAUACUCGGAGGUUACGGACUUUGCGCCGUCCCCGGUCNUAGCCCGUUGUUGGUUACAGUACGGUACACCUUCGACAGACCUGCAAACGUCUCCCGCGGCGUUUGUCGAUCGA